CAGUCGCCACGGUAAUGCGUAGGGUGCAAGCGUUAAUCGGAAUUACUGGGCGUAAAGCGUGCGCAGGCGGUUUGUUAAGACAGAUGUGAAAUCCCCGGGCUCAACCUGGGAACUGCAUUUGUGACUGGCAAGCUAGAGUGUGGCAGAGGGGGUGGAAUUCCGCGUGUAGCAGUGAAAUGCGUAGAUAUGCGGAGGAACACCGAUGGCGAAGGCAGCCCCCUGGGCCAACACUGACGCUCAUGCACGAAAGCGUGGGGAGCAAACAGGAUUAGAUACCCGCGUAGUCCCUGUCUCUUAUACA
rnacentral:rRNA from 1 species